rnacentral:rRNA from 1 species
CCCUUAGAUGUUCUGGGCCGCACGUGUGCUACACUGAGUGGAUCAGCGGGUCAGGUUACGCGAGAGCGUUUCCUAAUCUUCAAAUCCGCUCGUGAUGGGGAUUGACGGUUGCAAUUUUCCGUCAUGAACGAGGAAUACCUUGUAAGCGCGGGUCAUCAUCCCGCGCUGAAUACGUCCCUGCCCUUUGUACACACCGCCCGUCGCUCCUACCGAUUGAGUGGUCCGGUGAGGCUUUGGGAUCUAAGCGAAAAGAGCGUUUCGCUCCUUUUGCUGGGAGAACUCAGUCGAACCUUAUCAUUUAGAGGAAGGAGAAGUCGUAACA